AUGUCCGGAAACAUUUGGACGGCUUUGUGUUGCUGUCAGAAAGGCCAGGACAAAGGUUUGGAUUGUAAAUUUAAUUCGACAUAUAUUUUAUGUCCUGUUGUUUUGCUCUCAUAUUUGCUUAUCCAAGGCCUUUUGCAAACCUCCCCAGAUGGCCAACAGCAGGCGGGGGAAAAGAAAAACAACGAAACGCUACGAAAGGUCGAGAAUACUGAACGCGAUCCGGUUGUUCAUCAAGUUGCGCACGUGAAUAUUGGCUAUCUGUCCGCGGUGUUUGAUCAGAAGGAAAGCUUGUCUAGCCAGGAAGAUUCGCGAGGGCGUCUGGAGUCCACCGAACACCAACAGGAUGAAGUGGCCGUGAGCGAGGCUGAAGAGCGAGGGGUGCUGGGUUUCCCGGGACAGAGCGGCACAGCUGGACCAGCAGUGCUCAGCUCAGAAGAAGACCGAGGCUACAGGCUGAUCAAACAGCAGCUGGCAGUGGCAGAGAGGGAGAAACGCGAGCUGGAAAAACAGGUGCACCAGGCUAACCAGAGUGUCCGGGACCUCAAACACGAGGUUGCUGUUUUACAGAAACGUCUCCAGCUGGUGGAGAACCCACCACACACCCUGUCGCCUCCCAGACCGCCCACCCCACCCCCUCUGCCCACUCCUCCUCCUCUUCUCCACCCCCUCAGAUCCUUAUUGUCAAUCAUCCAAAAAAAGAAGGACUCUAAAGAGCAAGACCCAUCUUGCACACAGCAAGAAAACUACUCACCAGCCUCGCCUGAAAGAGCUACAAGUGUGUAAACAGCUGGAUAUCUCAGUGUCAAGAUCUGUUUGAUGAAAUGUUAUCACUUUGAAAU
ensembl:lincRNA